UACGUAGGGGGCAAGCGUUGUUCGGAUUUACUGGGCGUAAAGGGCGCGUAGGCGGCCACCGCAAGUCGGUUGUGAAAUCUCCGGGCUUAACCCGGAAAGGUCAAUCGAUACUGCGGGGCUAGAGUGCAGAAGGGGCAACUGGAAUUCUCGGUGUAGCGGUGAAAUGCGUAGAUAUCUGGAGGAACAUCGGUGGCGAAGGCGGCAUCCUGGACCGAUAUUGACGCUGAGGCGCGAAAGCCAGGGGAGCAAACGGG
rnacentral:rRNA from 1 species